UCCCGUGUGGCUCAGUUGGUAGAGCAUGGUGUUUGCAACGCCAGGGUUGCGGGUUCGAUUCCCCGGGGGAC
rnacentral:tRNA from 1 species